GUUCCUGCCCGCAUGGAACUAUUGGCGAGGGUUUGCAUUAAACAACUAUUAUUCAUAUUUUCCAAUGGCCAAUAGUAUUGCCCUAAUUUUCCGUUGCUAUAGCCUAAUUCAAUGCUUGUUAGUGAAAUGUAAUCGAACUUUAAUGGUUCGUGUAAAGAAUGAGUCCUGGCAGGCUCUCGUUGGCGCAUGUAGAGGCAUUCCAGACUACGAUGCAAGAGAAGGCAUAUAUUUCAAAGCACAAAUCUACAGAUUUUGGCAUUCGUAAAAAAGUUUUUUAUUGUUUUUCUGGCUCAUCGAGUGUAGGAAAUUCAAGGUGGCAGUCUACAAAAUGGGCUUUGGUUUUUGCAGACAGAUGGCUAUUAGAGUUCCCAUUUAGAGUUCCCAUUUUGGGCAUGCACGACAGAGGACCCGUUCCUGCACAGGUGGGCAAUAACAAUGUAAAAAAUAUUAAUAAAGGCAUCAUAUGAUAUUCUUCCUAACAUCCAGCAGUUGUAGAGGACGACGUGGCCUUCAUUUACCUUUAAAGUCUACAAUGAAACCUACUCUGUUCUGGUAGAGGUUUGUUGUUUUUUAGUUCCUGCCCCUUGCCUUUUAUAGAAGGCGACUGAGAAAAAUGAAUGUAAAAUGUAUGUCUCCAUUAUUUUUUAAGUUCCUGCCCCCAUCGAUUUCAUUGUUGAAUUUUCUAAUAACGGUUUCUCCAAUCAUUGAUUUCAUUGUUGAAUUUUCUAAUAAGGGUUCUAGUUUUUGGCUGUAGGGUUUCUGAUUUGGUAUUCAUGUGAUUUGUCUGCAGUAAGCUUUUUGACUGAAGAAACAUUGUUUCAAUGCAUCGUUCUUUUUCCUAUUUGUACUAUUGUAAAAUAUAGUAAAUGCCUGACUGCUUGUUACUGUUGAAUUUUGUAUAUGAAUUAGACAGUCAAGCGGUAUUUAGGAUGUCAUGUAAUUGCCUUUUGCAAAGAUGUAGGAGCUAAGUCAUUUAGUUAAAUUAUUAAAUAGAAUGUGAUUACAUAGCAUUAGUAAGAAUAACUCAAGGGCUUUCUCAGCAUACCCAUUCUGUGCAUAUCGAGCAACCAUAGCUGUCCAGGAGACAACAUCCCGUUGAUAAAUUUUGGCAAACACCUGUCGGGCAUCCUCAAUUCUGCCACAAUUUGCAUACAUGUCCACAAGAGCAUUUGCAACAGAGACAUGAAACGAAAAUCCACUACCUUAAAACUCACACCAGUUAAUCAAAUAUCAAGACUGCAAAAAGAAAAUAGACAUUGGCACAAUAAAAAGAAAUCACACAACCCACAAUAGAGGAAUCAGAAAUGUCACAUGAAGAUGAUAUAUGUGGGUGGAGAAAAGCCCAAGAAACAGAAUGCCAUUCAAAAUAUUUGGUGCAUAAUCCUCUACUGAAAGAGUUCAAAGUUCAUCCAAUAAUCAUUAAUAACAAUUGUAGCGAUUUCUUUGCAGACGAAUAGAGGCAAUCUUAAAAAGUCUUGGAAAAUAAAACACAAAAAAGUAAAAAUGCAAAUUCCAUAAGUUCAUACAGGCCUGAGAUAAUACAUAAUAGCAACAAGAACAGAAUUAUACGCAUUUAUAAAGUCAGCUUUUCAAGAAUCUAAAAUCCUUCUAGAAACUUAGUUAUUUGUUUAGUGGGCAUUUAUGAUUCACCUUGGCUUUGAUAUAUGUACCAUCUUCCAACGCUAUGGUGGGGUAAUCAGAAUCGCUACUUCUGAGUAUAGCCACGACUCUGGAAUUAAAUCUGAUGGCUCCUGAAGGCAAGGCUGCAGCAAGCGUUUCAAUAAGAACACUUCUUUUCACACAGCGGACUUCAUGAUUCCUGUUCAUAACCCACAACAAUGCCUCAAACUACUCAUUAUGUGCCUUCUUUUAUGUGCUCCUGAAGGCAAGGCUGCAGCAAGCGUUUCAAUAAGAACACUUCUUUUCACACAAUGGACUUCACGAUUCCUGUCCAUAACCCACAACAAUGCCUCAAACUACUCAUUAUGUGCCUUCUUUUAUGUGGUGUUCUACCCAAGAUAGAAAUCAGAAAGAAGUGCAGUAAGCAGCAAACCAAUUCUUUUAUGGGGAAGUUUUUAUCCCAACUCAUCCCAUUAAAAAACCCUUGUUUUGAUGUUUAACAUCCCAAUUCAUCUCAUUUAACUGUUCCGAUUUUCUUUAAUACAUUGAUUCCCAUUUUAUAAAGAACAAUAUAAUAAAUCCCAUGAGGAUAGUUGCAGGUACUACUCACCUGUAUGAAACUUUCUUGUCUAACCCAUCCUCAACGCAGACCAUCCUUGAACUGAUUCCCAACAGACAUGAAUUCACAUUUAAUUCAAAUGCAGACACGAAUUAAUGAAACAAUAAUACAGUAGAUUUUGCAGAAGGGUUAAAGUUACUGUUCUUGCCCUAGCAAGCGAGCAUGUCUUGUACGAAGGUCUUCUGCAAUUCCAAGAGCCUCCAAUGCCUUCCAAGCAUUAGUCCAAAGAUUAAGAGCUGCUCCUGUUGUUCGCAAUGAACUCCCUUGCUCAAGAACUAAGCAUUUCAAUCCCACUCUGCAAAACAACAUAAUGCUAAUUAAUCUGUCAUCCUAAUGAUGGUUCACUAAGUGUAACCUAAAAUAUGUAUUCUUUAGCAUCUUUCCCAUGAAAAUGUUCUGCAACAUAAGGACUUCUCAAGCUUAGUCCUUACCAGUGCAUUUAACCAGAGCUUUUGGAAUGACUUACAUGAGAGUUUUACAUUGGACACGUUGGAUUGAACAUGUCAUGAAAAUACAAUUUGGAUAUAUAAUGGAAUGUAGAAGCUCAGCUUUCAGAAUGACUCACAUUAGUGUUUUAUGUUGGACAUGUUGGAUUCAACAUAUCAUGAAGAUACCAUUUUUAUAUAUAUAAUGGACAGUGGAAGCUCAAACAGUCCAAACCAAUUGCUUGAAGAACCUUUGUUCUGUUAUCAUAAACUGUAGAAGCUCAAAACCAAUGAUAUUAGUUUAUAUUCACAGUUAAUGAUAAUAAAAUAAGGUUUCUGGAUUUUUUUAAACUUCAGCUCUAUUAUUAUAGAUUGUGAAGGUUCAAAAUUCUACGUUCUAUUAUCAUGCACUGUAGAAGCUUAAAACUAAUUUUCUAGAAUGGACUGUAGAAGAUCAAAGCCCAUGAUACCACUUAAUUGUUCUUGGAUUAUAGAAGGAAAGAAAACAGUAAAAUAUCUUUUAACAACAUGAAUUUCGAUUUUAGUCGAAACAACAUCAAGAAGCAAUCCAAAAUAUUUUUACUUCCUUCAAAAGUAAAUUAUAAGACUUUUGAUUUGCAAAUCCAAUAACUGUGUCUAAUCUUUAAACAAUAUUGUCUUGUACCUGUAAAGAGCAAUAGCAGUGGCCAGGCCUCCUAUGCCUCCUCCUGCUAUUACAAUACCUUCAUACUCUGAAUAGUUAUGGUUAUCUUCUUCAGCAACACUGCCAUGUUGCCUUUGUCAAAAUCAUUUUCAGACUCAAUUUCAAAAUCAUUUCCAGAAUCAAAGAAUCUAGCUGAAUUUUGUAUAGGAGUGGCCCAGAAAACUUUUGAAAAUUUAUUUUUUAGUGUUAAGGAUUCACUAGAUUCCUUUUUGUGCAGUGCUAGUAAUGGAGUAGAUGCUUAUAUCAAUAUUAAUACAUCCCUUUGGAAAGCAUUCAAGUCUUUGACAAAGUCAUUUGAAAAUGAAAUUUUUGGCUUUUUUGUCGAGCCUGAUAAAACUGGAGGAUUGACAAUUAGUGAUGGAAUUGAAGUUACGAGUCCAUUUUAGAUAGGUACAUGAGCAAAAAAUGGUGUAAAAUAUGUUGUGCUAAUUGUGGAAGAUUCUGUAGGAGCUGUUUUUGGAAUUAAAAUCAGAUUUAACGUACUUGAUUUAUCAAAAGGUGCUGGAGCUAAAUCUCUUCCUUUCUUCAUAUUUUCUUUCUUAGGCACGCUGUCCUCACGGAAAUUGCACACCGUGCAUCACAGCCCCCUCUGUAUAGUCAUGUCUACAUUAGUAAAAAUGUAAAAAUUAAAUCGAUUCCCGAUGCCAUUCAAACUGUGUAGCACAGUUAGCCCUCAAUCUACGGUAACUCUAAAACAACUUUUUGCUUUACCUCUCCCUCUGAUUUCCAAUACAUCUGUAUGCUCUAUUGCUUUCACUGAUGGUUCUAUUGCAUAUCUUUCUUUAUGUUGCUCACCUAUUUGUGAGGGAUAUUAGGUUUUGUACACCAAUUUCAAUUCGUAAACAUAGUUAAAUUCUGAUGUUCUAGUGCUUCUAUCUUAGCUAGAAGAAAGACAUGAACAAGUGCCCAUGUUUCACUUGUUGGUUUCUAUUUUCUGGUCUCCAAAUAUUUGUUCGUACUACUUCCAGAACACAAUGGCCAACAAUAUCAUUGUUGAAUCGGACUAUCUUUGUUAUGUUAUAGAAAUGGUUGCUUGGAACUGAAACAUACGACACUUGUUCUUGUCUCAUUGCUAUUCCUCCCAAACUUUGUAACUUUUAAACUAUAUCUCUUUCUCCCUUCCAUUAUAUGUUUGCAUAGAAUCUUUACAUAACCAUGUAUUUAUUCAUAUAUGUAGAUACAUACUUUUCCCUCCAUGCAUUUCAAUGUAUGUAUAAACCUAUGUAAUGUUCACAUAAAUAACUCUAAUGUCUUAUGCAUACAUAAUUUUAUAAUUGUAAACUUAAAUGCACUGUUUCCUCCGAUCGUAAUUUAACUUCACAGUAUGUAAGUAUAUACCUAAAUUAUAUUGUACUAAGAAAUAGCUAUCUUUUUCUUUUGUCAACGACACCGAUUUGUAAUCUAACAUUGCUAGUGCAAUUGAUCUAAGCACAACAUACUCUGAACCCGAAUAUUCAUUGCUCCUCUUGAAAGAGUCUCUUUCUCAACAUAACAAACACUCUGCCAGGUAUGAUACUUUGCUAUUUUUAUAGUUUCACCUGUUUUCGACCUUUUUUGCAAUAAUAUAGUAUUCUGUAAUGCUAUUAAAGACAUCAAAAUGAUAACAUAAUACUCUUUUGUAACAAGGAUUGUCAUAACGUAAACAGUAAUAUGCGUCCUCACAUUACUUCUUGAGUAACCAUAAGAAUUCCACAAUAUAUGGGAAUUGAUAAAGUUGAUCUACUAUCGAAUGCUUGAUAUAUAUGUUUUCUUCUUUUGGGCUCCUCUUCUUUUAUGACACACUGCUCAUUCAUUGAAUGUUUUUUUCCCUUGCUCUCUUUAAUGUGUCUGGUUUCUUUCUUAUGUUGUGUGUUCAACAUAUCUGAUUUACAAGAUUUUUGGAUCGCAAAGCACAUUGAGCAUUGAUAGCAUCUAAUUACGCAACACAUAAAGGGAUCGAGGGGCAUGGCCUUUGUUGAGACCUUGGAGUUCAAAUAGUGGGGUCACUUAACACAUGGACCCCAGCCAUGUGACGUCAUUUGGAUCAAUGUCUUCCAAGGAACAUCAUUUGCCCAAAAAAGAAUCUUCCAUACAUGUCCAUUGCAGUCAGCCAGACGCUCAUAGCUUACAAGAGCACCUUGGAAAAUAGUGCCAUGUUGAUCAGCUCAAAGGAAAAGACAACCCUUGCAGCACCCUUGCUACACAAGCAAGUCAUACCAAACAAAGUUUUGUGACUGGGCAUGAGAUAAAUAUUACUUCUACUUGCUUCUCUUUGAUGAAGCUGUAUAUUUUCUGCAUAUGGGGCAUAUACUUAGACAUUGGCGAUUGACUUGAGAUAACCCUUAAUUUUGGAGCAAGCUGAUCUUUUCAAGCCAUCAACAGGUCUCAGAAGUAUGUUUAGACGACUGGGGUUCAAAGGCUUGCAUAUAACCAUUUAUUAAAAGAAUCAUGGUUUAAAAGAUGUCCUAUAAAGGAGAGAAGCUGCUGAAGAAAUGACAUUAUGUGUCUAAUGUAGAUAUAUCACUUCGCUGCAGCCAUACUAGGUCCAUGUUAAUGGAUAUUGCAAACUUGAAAAAUGCUUCGGCCUUUAAACUUUGUAAAUCUUAUUACUUUUUUGGAUGGGAAUGGCCCUACAAGCUAUGAUACUGCCUGACAGUGUUAAUAUAAUGUGAUGGAAAAUUCAUACAAUAAUGUCUAUGCUUAUAUUUGAAUAUACCGACUGUUUCUGAAACCAUCUUUGUAUACAUGAAUUCUGCAUCAUUUGUAAAAGACCGAACAUAUAUUUCUCAGUUGAACAUUAACCAACACUAUCAUAAGCUCUUUUGUUAA